rnacentral:rRNA from 1 species
ACAACAGUUGGAAACGACUGCUAAUACCGCAUAAGCCCACAGCUCGGCAUCGAGCAGAGGGAAAAGGAGCAAUCCGCUUUGAGAUGGCCUCGCGUCCGAUUAGCUAGUUGGUGAGGUAAUGGCCCACCAAGGCGACGAUCGGUAGCCGGACUGAGAGGUUGAACGGCCACAUUGGGACUGAGACACGGCCCAGACUCCUACGGGAGGCAGCAGUGGGGAAUAUUGCACAAUGGGGGAAACCCUGAUGCAGCGACGCCGCGUGGAGGAAGAAGGUCUUCGGAUUGUAAACUCCUGUUGUUGAGGAAGAUAAUGACGGUACUCAACAAGGAAGUGACGGCUAACUACGUGCCAGCAGCCGCGGUAAAACGUAGGUCACAAGCGUUGUCCGGAAUUACUGGGUGUAAAGGGAGCGCAGGCGGGAAGACAAGUUGGAAGUGAAAUCCAUGGGCUCAACCCAUGAACUGCUUUCAAAACUGUUUUUCUUGAGUAGUGCAGAGGCAGGCGGAAUUCCCGGUGUAGCGGUGGAAUGCGUAGAUAUCGGGAGGAACACCAGUGGCGAAGGCGGCCUACUGGGCACCAACUGACGCUGAGGCUCGAAAGUGUGGGUAGCAAACAGGAUUAGAUACCCUGGUAGUCCACACUGUAAAC